ensembl:lncRNA
UUUUUGACACUGGCAAAUUUACUGUGCACAGUUAUAGUGUAAAUACUGUAAAUACUACACACACUGUUAUAGUGUAAAUACUGUAAAUACUACACACACUGUUAUAGUGUAAAUACUACACACACUGUUAUACAGCAAAUACUACACACACUGUUAUAGUGUAAAUACUGUAAAUACUACACACACUGUUAUAGUGUAAAUACUGUAAAUACUACACACACUGUUAUAGUGUAAAUACUGUAAAUACUACACACACUGUUAUAGUGUAAAUACUACACACACUGUUAUAGUGUAAAUACUGUAAAUACUACACACACUGUUAUAGUGUAAAUACUACACACACUGUUAUAGUGUAAAUACUGUAAAUACUACACACACUGUUAUAGUGUAAAUACUACACACACUGUUAUAGUGUAAAUACUGUAAAUACUACACACACUGUUAUAGUGUAAAUACUGUAAAUACUACACACACUGUUAUAGUGUAAAUACUACACACACUGUUAUAGUGUAAAUACUGUAAAUACUACACACACUGUUAUAGUGUAAAUACUACACACACUGUUAUAGUGUAAAUACUACACACACUUUUCUACAUUAGACACAGACAUUUUGAAUUAUGUCACUUUAUUGCCUUUUUUAGACGCUGCCUUGAAAAUAGCCGCACAUGAACACAUUGAUCAAACCGGGUCGGGUGUGUGAUGGUAAACAUGCCAAUCAGGUGUAAACACUUUACAAAGGCAGCGGCUGAGUGUGAGAGGAAGAAGAUCCGGAGAUGAAGAGGUGGAGGGCAGCUGGAGGUGACCCCUCUAAGUAUUGAUCAGUGUCUCAGUCAUCAAUAACCUGAUAGAGAUCACACACACACAAACACACACACAGAUACACACACACACACACAGAUAAACACACACACACAGACAGUCUGAGGUAAUUAGACCCAGUUUAUCAUCAUUUUUAAUACUCACAUGUCUGACAUGUUAUCUAGAUGUUGUAUGUUGUUUAUAUUUGUUGUGUGUUUGUUGCGGUAUUAAUGAGGCACAUGUGAGUUGCGUGAUGAAAAUAAGUCGUCUUUGAAUAUCGCCGACGAGUUGGAGGACGACGGACAAGUUUACACUUCCUGUUGACAUUAUUGUCCCUAAACAAUAAGCUCUGACAGCAGAAACAGGAAGUAUGUCGUCUCAUCAUUCCUCCCUCCUUACCCACUUCCCUCCUCUCCUCUCCUCCCUUGUCCUCUUCUUCAUCCCUCCUCCCCUUCUCCUCUCUUUCCUCACCCCCUCUCCUCCCCUCCCCUGUCCUCUUCUUCAUCCCUCCUUCUCCUCUCCCCUUCUCCUCUCCUCCCCUGUCCUCUUCUUCAUCCCUCCUCCCCUUCUCCUCUCCUCCUCACCCCCUCUCCUCCUCUCCCCUUCUCCUCUCCUCCUCACCCCCUCUCCUCCUCUCCCCUUCUCCUCUCCUCCUCACCCCCUCUCCUCCUCUCCCCUUCUCCUCUCUCUCCAUCUUUACUCACAUGUUGAUGGAUCAGCUCCUUUUAAACGCUGAUGCCUAUUGUUCUUCUUUUGUGGAGUUAAUGACCUUCUCCCCCAGACUUGUCCGUCUAAUGUGUGUGUGUGUGUCUGUGUGUCUGUGUCUGUGUGUGUGUGUGUGUGUCUGUGUGUGUGUGUCUGUGUGUGUGUCUGUGUUUGUGUGUGUGUCUGUGUGUGUGUGUCUGUGUGUGUGGUCUCUCAGACGUCCAUCCUGUGUGUCAGGGCGGGACAGAGGCAGAGUGAAAAGAAAGAGCGAGUGAGUCAAGACGGAUUGAGAGAGAGGAGAGCCUGCUGACUUUGUGUGUGUGUGUGUGUGUGUGUGUGUGUGUCUGUGUGUCUGUGUGUGUGUGUGUGUGUGUGUCUGUGUGUGUGUGUGUGUGUGUGUGUGUGUGUGUGUGUGUGUGUGUGUGUGUCUGUGUGUGUCUGUGUGUGUGUGUCUGUGUGUGUGUGUGUGGGGGGGGUUUAAAGGGUCAGACUAAUUUGCAGCUCGUUGAAUAGAAACAAGCUUCCUCUGACAGGCAGGUUGGGGGGUCGUCACUGUGUGUGUCUGUGUGUGUAGAAAGCAGCACACACUCUUCAUCACACAGAUUUCCAGCUUUUCCCAGCUGAUAAAGAUGAAAUCAGAAAUCCAAAUAUAUAGUUUGUUGUCAAAGACCAUCUGACGUUUGACAUUUAUCACAAUUAAGUAGCGUGAGCAACGUUAGCUUCCUCAGUAGCAUCACUGUGGCCUCCACACACAAAAACUGCCUCGUUAAGACUAAUAGAUUCAUAAUUAAGGUAAAUUUAUUGUUUUUCUUAAUCAGAAACUAGUAACUAAUACCUAGUCAUUAAAUUACUAAAAGUGAUACAUGUAGAGAUGCUUAUCUAUAUAUACAUCUUUUGACCACUUAGGAGUUUAAGGAAAGUCAAACGUCAAAGUAAAAACACCACCAGGGUGCAACAACGAACUGAUGAAAUCGAUAAAAAGUGUUGGCAAUGAAUUUGGGGGCGUGGCCCUUUAGUCCCAGUGCAAUUUAAGCAGGUUGUAAGAGCAUGGAGGCCUCCGUCACCUGGCUGGAGCACGUUGUAAGGACGCCCCUCCGUCGGCUGCCUCGCAUGGUGCUGUACGGCCCAAGGACAACGCUCUGCUGGAGGGCAGAAGAAGCACCACAAAGACCAAAUGAAAGCAGACCUGGGGACUCGGAGGGCGUGGCUUCUGACCGAAACACCUGGCGGCAGAUGUGCCAAGAAAGGACCAAAGCACUGGAGCAGGACAGGACAGCGCACAAGUGCACAUUAUCCCUGGACAACUACCAGCAUCUCCUCCAUCUCACAGAUGUGUGGAUGUCUCUAUUCUACAUUCUAAAAACGCAACUUUAUCCGGAAGAAGUUCAUUUAAAUGGGUAUGAAGGUUACAUCUUGCCACAAAAGAGCCAAAAACAGACACAAAAGUAGAAAUGUAUGAAGUCAUAAGCGUUUUUUUGCUCAGUAUGAGAGGUCCGUAGUGGACCGGACCAACUGAACCGUACCCCUUACCUGGUGUGAUGGACUAGUCGACGGGUUAAGUCCUGACUUAACUGAGUUUGAACAACCUUGUUCUCCAGAGGUCGGUGCUUUUACCUUCUUACUUCCUGUCGGACGUCUAAACAACUCAAACUUCCAAACCUGAUUCAGGAGCCUUGUGGACUGAAACGGACGGCAGAGAUCUCACCGGACUCUGAGUCUUCACCAAUGACGUGUUGUGAUUGACGCAAGUAUUAAUGUUCCUGCUUUGUCAUUUGUCACUUCCACAGAACUCAACAUACCACAAAAUACGUCGUCAUUCAUGAUCAGGAAACAUUUAUUGCCAUAAUGUGUCGGACAUACUGUCAGGGGUGCGUGGGAGGCAGGACUCAAAUGCAGAGUUUAAACGAAAGAGGACUUUAAUAGUCAAAAACUCCAACAAAGUAACAGGCCAACAGGCAAAAACACACACAAGUACCGGGGGGGGGGGGGGGACAAGGCAGGAAGUGAAGUUACCCAGGGAGACAAGAAGCAGAAAACUACAAAAUAAGACAGGAAAUAAAACCACACCGUGACACAUACAAGGAAUUUGACUUGGCGGUUGGUGCGUAACAGCAGACAGUACGACAAUGGACAAGACAACAGUGCACGAGGAAUAAAAUAAAAUAUAAGGCUAUGGGUGAGUUUAAAAAUAAAGGAAUAAAAGUUAAAGUUAAAAAUAUUUAGAAAUUAAAAAUAAAGUGCACCGUGGGAGCAGAAAGUGACAUGUGCAGUGUGAAGGGGAGUGACCGGUGGAAUGUUAUAGUCAGUCAGUGGGGGACCGGCUCUGUUGAUGAGCCCGACUGCCGACGGGAAGAAACUGUUGGUGUGGUGGGAGGUCUUAGUCCUGAUGGACCUCAGCCUCCUGCCAGAUGGAAGGGGCACAAACAGGUUUUGUCCGGGGUGGGAGGGGUCGGCUACCAUCUUUUUAGCUGCUUCAGAGACCUGGAAGCGUACAAGUCCUGCAGGGACGGCAGGUUGCAGCCGAUCAGCCUCUCUGCAGAGCGGAGGACACGCUGCAGCCUGCCCUUGUCCUUGGCUGUGGCUGCAGCGUACCAGACGGUGAUGGAGGAGCAGAGGAUGGACUCCAUGAUGGCCGUGUAGAAGUGGACCAUCAUAGUCUUUGGCAGGUUGAAUUUCUUCAGCUGCCUCAGGAAGAACAACCUCUGCUGAGCCUUCUUGGUGAUGGAGCUGAUGUUCAGCUCCCACUUGAGGUCCUGGGUGAUGAUGGAGCCCAGGAAAGUGACGGGGGAGUCACACAGGGUGAUGGGGGAGGGUGGGGCUCUGUUCCGCCGGAAAUCCACAACCAGCUCCACUGUCUUUAGAGCGUUGAGCUCCAGGUUGUUCUGACUGCACCACGACACCAGAUGGUCAGACUCCACCUGUAGGCGGACUCGUCCCCACCAGAGAUCAGUCCAAUGAGGGUGGUGUCAUCCGCAAACUUCAGGAGCUUGACGCACUUGUGAGCCACUUGUGAGCCUUAAGCAGCUAUUUCUCAUGGUGGAGACCAAAAACGCCGCUAAAAGAAGAUAUUAAAUUAUCAACAUGGCGAGAACAUAUGAACUAACCUCAACUAUCAACCAGCACAAACCUUUACCUGCUGAAACCAGGGGUUAGAGAAGGUGUGCUGGGAAGCACAAGGUUGGUGGUUCGAGUCCAGGCUGCCUCAUGUUCCAUGUCGAAGUGUCCCUGAGCAAGACACCUGACCCCUAAUUGCUCCCCGGCUGAAAAAGCCGUGGGUUUAAAGUGUGAUGUAAGUCGCUUUGGAUAAAAGCGAUGUGAUGCGAUUUAACGGAAUCAGACCCCCCGUUUAUCUUGUCUGUGGGAUCGGCAGGAGGAGACUCCUUGUUCAGCUGAAACGCGACACCCGCAACCUCCCCCCCACACUUGUCUCCCCCCUUUGCCUCCCCCCUCGACUCCCUGUGUUCGCUUCCUUUAUCUGAAUCCACCAGCUACAUGAAUACCCAUGAACCGCCAGGAGCUCUGCCAACAGCUCCAUGCAAUGGGCCCUACACCUCCUCUUCACCCCCCCACUCUCGUUUCCUCCCCAUCUCCCCCUUGUGUGCCGCUCUCCCUUUGAAUCUUCCUCACGCUGCGCGGCCUGAAGUAUUUGGCCACUGGACAUGAGACCCUUCAGGUGUGUGUUCACGUUCUGACUCGUCUUCUUCUGGGUUUUUCUCUUUGUUGCCAUGUUGCCGUUUCUUUCUGCUGUGUUCCUGAAGGAAGCACUGGGGGCCGCAUCUGUAUUCAUUAGCACGUUUCUUUCAAGCUCAACAUAAUUAAAUACAUUUGUAUGUCAUCGUUAUGCAGAUGACAUACAAAUGUAUAUCUCCCUUUCUCAUACUGUUUUACUACAUUGUGUAGUUAGAUUAUAGUUACAUUCAAUUAGCUACAUUGUUAUGUUACUUGCGUUGUUAAAUUGUUACGUUAUUGUAUUACUUGACAUUGUUAUACUAGAAAUUUAAAAGUUAUUUGAGAAAACUAAAUGUUCUGUUCAGAAACAUUGAAUAAAGUUUACACAACGAGCCCUUGAAACAUGAAAGUAUAUUAAGUUGUGAAGGACAAUUUCCAGUAAAUAUAAAAACUAAAUAUAUAAAUAUAAUAAAUAUAUUGCGACCCUGUGUGCAGGAUGAGCGGUUUGCAGAUGGAUGGUAAAUAUAUCUGUAGAAUUACCCUUAACUUCACUGAGGUAAACACAGUUCCUCCAAUGAAAGAAGCUCAAGCUUCUGUCCACAUAUUUUUGGCCACACAAUGAGUGCGUGUCCCCCCGACUCUCCCCCCCCACUCCCCCCCCUUCCGCAAACCUCCCCUCCGCCACUAUUUAUUUCACUUGUCCUCCCCCUUCUGGUCGGAGAGAGAGAGAGCAAUUUCGGAGCCUCCCCAUUGGUUGACAGCGG